rnacentral:lncRNA from 1 species
CUCACGUAUGUGUACACAGGACAAGUGUUGGAAAACAUGGCAUGGGUACCUUUGGCACAGAGGUAAAUCAGCUCUCCGAGGAAGACGUACUUAAGGCAGAAAGAUGCAACUGUUGAAGAAGCAGGAAGCUCACGCGUGCCAACGCCCCAAGGUGCCUGACUUGAGCUUCCCAGCAGGAGAUCCUUCCCAGGGCUCCUCAGACCACUGCUGCAGCUUCCUCUCUCCCCUGCACUGCUGCAGAUCAACCUCCUCUGGAGCUGUGAGGGACAUGUGACCUUUCCAGAACCAACCCCGAGGGCCCUAUCUUCCAUUGGUCAGUCCCUUCCUCCCAGAAUUCUCUUCUUCCCUCAAGACCUAGCCUAGAUAUUCCCUCCAGUAUGAAACCUAUCCUCACCCUCCUGACUGAACUCACCUCUCCACAUGCAUGUUGCCUUCCAGAUGAAGGCUUUCCGUAACUAUGGGCUGCACUUCACAGUGUCACAGAGACAACUGCACUGAAUUCAAGAGAUGGGUUCACACGAUGGAGCAAGAGCAGAAUGAAGCAAGUCCCGGCUUUAUCACCUUUGGAAGACACAGGUCUCCUGCCACCCUCCGAGAUCUUCCCGCCGAGCCCAGGCGCGGGGCAUGAGGAGCCCCUGGGUGUCUCCUGCAGACAACCCAGCCUCGCGCACACCUCGCCAGUCGCUGACAGGGACAUGAACAGCAUGAUUGGGUUCCGGUGUCCGGCGGCCAGCCUCAGCCGGAGGCGGCCAGUG